rnacentral:rRNA from 1 species
UACGUAGGGGGCAAGCGUUGUUCGGAUUUACUGGGCGUAAAGGGUGUGUAGGCGGUUAUGCAAGUCGAAUGUGAAAUACCUUGGCUCAACCAAGGAAGUGCAUUCGAAACUACAUAGCUAGAGUUCGGGAGAGGAGAGCGGAAUUCUCGGUGUAGCGGUGAAAUGCGUGGAGAUCGAGAAGAACACCAGCGGUGAAGACGGCUCUCUAGACCGGUACUGACGCUUAGGCACGAAAGCGUGGGGAGCGAACGGG